UCUCCCAUGUGCUUUUCAUGCUUUAAUUUGAAAUCUUUUCAAACCCUUACAAUUCCACGCCAUCUAUUUCAACGUAACCACCAUUUUAAUCUCAAUUCUCAAUUCUCUCAAACUCUCCCCUCUUUAAUCAAUCUCCGGCGCCAACGCCGCUAAUCGUUCUAUCUCCGACGAGUAUAAGUCUUCCGGCCUCCUGCACAACUAAAAUGAAAAGAAACUGCGGUUUGGAGCUCUGGCUUGUUUGGAGCUCUGGCUUGUGCCACCAUCUCUCUCUUUUCCGGCUAAAGAUUACCAACACUUUCAACAACACCCCAAGUUGGAAAUGAAUAAAAUGAUGAACGGAAGUACCACAAAAGAGGGACAGCAGCAGCUAACAAUAUUCUAUAAUGGAAAAGUUGUAUCGUGUGAUGUCACAAAACUACAGGCUAGAGCCAUCAUACUGCAAGCGAGUCAGCAGAAAUUGAACACGGCGGCGAUGAUAUCGUCAUUUUCCGUUCAAUCUCCGCCGCCGCUGGUGCUUCAAUCCCAACAAGUAUGCAGUUCUUCUGGUCUCUCUUUGAAGAGAUCUUUGAAGCUAUUUCUUCAAAAGAGAAAAAAUAGGGUCCAUGCAGCAUCUCCCUAUAAAUCCUAUCGUCGCUAGUAAUAAUCUCAAUAAUUAUUACUCAUUUUCAUGAAUCAAAAUCGUCUCCUAUGAGUAUUAUUGUCUCAAGAUAUAGAACAAACUCCUGUAACCCACCAUCAUGAAAUAUAGAGUAUGUCUAUUAGGACUAUUAGGACUCUAUUAUCCAUAUUAGACUAGGACUAUAUUAUUCGUGUUAGACUAGG